rnacentral:misc_RNA from 1 species
UAAAUGUGAAACAUUAGUGCUUUAAUCAGCCUUCUUUAAUGAGGUUUACAAUAAUAAGUGAGCAAGAACUAUAGAUGAGUUAUAUAAUAAGCUAAGUUAUUUCAAUCAAAUGUGAUGAAGCAAACUUUGCUCAAACAUUUGUUGCACACUUAGGUUUAAUUUUCUUAUAUGAACAUAGCUUUAUGUUUCUCAAUUUUCAUCUUUAGUCCAUCUUUAUCUGCUCCAACAACCUUGUCAACAACUUUCCCUUUCUUUAUCAACACGAACGUUGGCAUCGCUUGAACCCCAUAUUCCUGAGCUACGUCAUCCAAUUCAUCAACAUCAAUCUUGACAAACUCAACAUCUAUAUAUUUAGCAGCAAAGUCAUUAAGAAUUGGUUCCAUGUAUUUGCAAGGACCACACCAUGUGGCUGUGAAGUCAAUAACAACCAAUUUGUUUGUAUUUUUCAAAGAAUCAAAAUGGAGCUUCCAUUUUGUUGAAGAGUGAAAAGCAAUGACUUGAGACCUCUUGAAUUGUGGUGUGAUUGGCAUAUUAUGAGCUUCAUGCAAUGUGACUGAGUAGUUAGCACCC